UAACUAAAAUUAAUCAUAUUUAAGUUUAUUGAAGUUCUCGGUUAAGAAAAUUUGGACUCGGAAACAAUGAUUCUUGAUUGGAUUGGAAUAAUUCUUCGGAAUGGAUUAAUUGGAUCAGGAAUCACUUAAUUUUCUUGUUUAUUAUUAAAAAGAUUUCAACGUCCAGCUUCAAAAAUAUAUUCAAAUAUUUAAUCUACGAAUUUUUGACUAAUUUUUCAUCAAAACUCCCAUAUGAUGGAUGGUUUUCGUUCUUGACAUGCUAAGAUUAUCGUUUUGAAUACUUUCAACCGGACAAAUAGGAAUUACAAUAAGAAAUUAAUGAAAAAUGAAAUUUGAGGUUAUGUAUCUGUCAAAAUUCUACAAAAUUACUUCGUAUGGACUUUACAUGGAUUAAAUACAAUAAAAAACGUAAGCGGUCAACAAUAUAUAAUGAAUU